GUCUACGGCCAUACCACCCUGAACAUGCCCGAUCUCAUCUAAUCUCGGGAGCUAAGCAGGGUCGGGCUUAGUUAGUAUUUGGAAGGGAGUCCUUUACCUUUCCUGACUAAUUUGUUUUGCAUCUU
rfam:Cavia porcellus supercont2_51 genomic scaffold, whole genome shotgun sequence.